GGAACACGGCAAGACGAAAGAAGCUCUGUUGUUUUUUUUUCCCCGGCAGUUAGUUAGUUUAGUGCUAGCGUAGUUAAGACACUGUAGAAUACUGAAGCUUUUUGCCUUUUUUUUUUCUUUUUUCCUCUUUUUUUUCCCUUUUUUUUCCUUCCUUUUUUUUUUUUUUUCCCUCUCCUCAGAACUGUUCCAACCUCUCCGGACUAAGGACCUGGGGAAGCACCGGGGGGCCUCCACAGGGGACCCACCCCACCAAGACCAGCCCUGCACAUCUCCUUUUCUCCCAGCACCAGCGGAGAUGGAGCGGUGGAGCACAGUGACGACCCUCAAGAGGAGACUUUCUUUAAGUUUGUUAUCCCUCCGGCUCUCAUCUUCCUCUGGGUUCUCUUUCUUCUGGGCUCAGGUUUCCUCCCAGCUGGGCCAUGCUCAGGAUGCUGUUGGUGCCCCAGAACCAAUGGAACUGAAGUUAAUUCGCCUAUCUUGAUAAUUCUGAGCAGUGAGAGUUUGGAAGGAAGAAAUGUGACAGAAACUCUUAUGAAGAAUCCAAGAGGAGCAAAAAAUGAGCAACAACAGAGAUUGUGAGAAAACAAUAGACAGACAACUCUUAAAGGUCAGGGCUGGGUUUCUUGGUUCCUUUGGGUUUUCGGGACAGGCUGGGCUCUCCCUGGGCUCUCUGCCCUGUGAGGAGGUUCUCAACCCUGUGGCAAAUCUAUCAGAAGGGCAGUGGAGUAAAGGCUCAGCUGCCACAGAGGAAAAAAAAAAAAAAAAAAAAAAAAAGGGAGAAGUAUUGCGGAUGUUAUUCUCAAAGGCCUGAGAAAGCUGAAGGGGACUUCAGUGUGGAUUUAACCCCAAACUAAAAAUCGUCCACUUUUAAGAUUCCCUUGAUAGACUGAGUAAUGCAGCAACUGCAGUGAAAACCCCACCAUUCUUUUGUGAUCUUAAACAGUUGAAAAUAUUACAUAUUUUUCAACACUUCUUUAUAAAUAAAAUGUAAAUCAAGUUUCAAAAUGUGACUUGUUAAUGCGAAAAUGCACCUGCAAUCUAAUUUAUAUAGUCUCUACCUUUGAAAGCUGCUAUUCCACGUAUGAAAAGUGGGGUUGUUGGCAUAUCAAGACAGUCCCAUUGGCUCCUGAUAGCUCUCAUAUUAUUGCAUACUGUAAAGAGAGCUUCUGGGUUUGAUUUUAAUUAUAUGUUCUUCAUUGCAAAUAUUUGCUGCCUUCCUGCUUCCACCACAGUAGACAAAGGAAAACCAGGAUGAUGGGGUUAUACCUGCACGAGGAGGAGAAAAUCAGACCCAGGGCCACAGUAAGAAAAGGAGUUAUUAGUCAUGUAGCAGUGAAUCAGCAUCUCUCUUUUUGAAUCUUUUCUUUUGAAUGAGUUAUAGUUAUGUCCUGCAUUAAUAUUUUUGCUUAGUUUGCUAGGAAAUGCAAAUGGAAAUAAAAAAAAAAUUGAAAUUACUUUGAGGUUUUCUUCGUCCACCAGCCAAAUGUAUAUACCUCAGAAACUAAUAUAGCUCUUUGAUGGGAAUUGCUUAUUUUCUGUUGACAGAUUUUUAGUGAAAAAGAUAGAAAUCAGAUUGAAUUUCGACAGUGAGAAAUUGAGAGCUUAUUCUACCAGCAGGAAUUUCAAGGCCUCUAAUUUUACCUCUGUGAGAAAAGAUGAACCAAGAAUAUCAGCAACCUACUUUCCUUUCCCAGAAAGAAACACAGCACCCUGAAAGUCACAGAGACAAUCUGAAACAGAGGUGAUUUCCCCUCAGCUUAGACGCGGCAGUCUCUAACCACAGCAGAGAUACUGGGGUUUGUUGUUAGGCCCCAGCAGUCCGGCAGUGAAAUAAAGCACAUCUUGUCCUUGCUCACAUGGGUGGGGUCAGGUGUGACCCUUCCUGAUGACCCCGAAUCGCAGGCAGGCACCGAUCCUGCAGCACUCAGCCCUGGGAGCAGGGUUCCAGCACCCACAGGGAAUUUCUACCCCUCAGGAGACCUUUGGGGUUGUUUAUAUUAAAUGAAUAUUUCAAUGAGCAAGUGUCCAUGUGAGCACUGCUGUUGACGUGAGCUCCACAGAAUCAGAAUGAGAUCAUUAAAAUAUAAAUAUCAAAACACUUUGUCUUCUUUGCGGUGUAUGGCAGCAUUUUUCUGCUUUGUCCAUUUUCUGUGUCCUAUUCUGAGUAAUCCAACAUCACUUUUUGUCUCUGCAAUGUAUCUUCAUAACAGCUCUUCCUAUGCAGCCGAGUCAGGAAACAGAUCAGGCUAAUUCUUUUCCAUCACAUUGUAUUUUCUUGUGUCCUAAUG